CCUACGGGAGGCAGCAGUGGGGAAUAUUGGACAAUGGGCGCAAGCCUGAUCCAGCCAUGCCGCGUGUGUGAAGAAGGCCUUCGGGUUGUAAAGCACUUUUAUCCGGAAAGAAAAGCUUUGGGUUAAUACCCUGAAGUCAUGACGGUACUGGAAGAAUAAGCACCGGCUAACUUCGUGCCAGCAGCCGCGGUAAUACGAAGGGUGCAAGCGUUACUCGGAAUUACUGGGCGUAAAGCGUGCGUAGGUGGUUUGUUAAGUCUGAUGUGAAAGCCCUAGGCUCAACCUGGGAAUUGCAUUGGAUACUGGCAGGCUAGAGUGCGGUAGAGGAUAGUGGAAUUCCCGGUGUAGCAGUGAAAUGCGCAGAGAUCGGGAGGAACAUCUGUGGCGAAGGCGACUAUCUGGGCCAGCACUGACACUGAGGCACGAAAGCGUGGGGAGCAAACAGGAUUAGAUACCCUGGUAGUCCACGCCCUAAACGAUGCGAACUGGAUGUUGGGUGCAACUAGGCACUCAGUAUCGAAGCUAACGCGUUAAGUUCGCCGCCUUGGGGAGUACGGGUUCGCAAGACUUGAAACUCAAAUUGAAUUGACGGCUUGGNGAGNGCGAGGCGACGACGAGGAGAG
rnacentral:rRNA from 1 species